GAUGAACGCUAGCGGCAGGCCUAAUACAUGCAAGUCGAGGGGUAACAGGAAGUGCUUGCACUUCGCUGACGACCGGCGCACGGGUGAGUAUCGCGUAUACAAUCUGCCUCAUACUAGGGAAUAGCCCGAAGAAAUUUGGAUUAAUGCCCUAUAGUAUCUUUUUAAGGCAUCUUAUUAAGAUUAAAGGUUACGGUAUGAGAUGAGUAUGCGUUCUAUUAGCUAGUAGGUGUGGUAACGGCACACCUAGGCUACGAUAGAUAGGGGCCCUGAGAGGGGGAUCCCCCACACUGGUACUGAGACACGGACCAGACUCCUACGGGAGGCAGCAGUAAGGAAUAUUGGACAAUGGACGAAAGUCUGAACCAGCCAUGCCGCGUGCAGGAUGAAUGCCCUACGGGUUGUAAACUGCUUUUAUACAGGAAGAAACCUUUCCACGUGUGGAAACUUGACGGUACUGUAAGAAUAAGGAUCGGCUAACUCCGUGCCAGCAGCAGCCGCGGUAAAAC
rnacentral:rRNA from 1 species